CUCGAGGCAAGACAAGUGUGAACACACCUUCCCUAAAUCCACUGGAAUGUGGUAUAGGACAGAGGAGAGACCAAGGUUACAACGCUCUAGAGUAUGUAUCACUGUGACUAAGUAAGACAGGAAGUUCAGCCCAGGAAACAUAGACUAGAAUAUGAGAACUAAUGUUAACAAGUGAAGAAAGGGUUUGGCAAGUGUAUGUGUGGGAGUACCGGAACGAGACCAAAGCCUGCAUAAAAAAAUGGGCGUGGAGUUUUCACAGUUUCACUAUGAGCUUCUCCUUACAGUCAUUUACAUGGCACCGGGUUUCACAGUCACAGGUCAUCUGAGAAGCGGUCAUCUCACUGAAAUCACUGGAGCGGUGUUUAGACAACCAUGUGUGGAAAACUGAACUGAAACUUUCACAUUUUAAGGAAUAUUUCUUGGGCUACAUUUGUUAUCUUGAACUGGAUUCUUCCUAAGGACACAAGGAGUCAAUACACCUGCCUACUAUCUCACUCAGACUUAGACUGCGGAGCACCAGAGAUGUCAGAAUCACCAGACACAUGCAUAGAAAUGGACGAAUUCACUCCACUUCCUAUUGUACCAGGGGCAAGUGACGCAGAAAAUGGCACUUGCAAGGAAGUUAGCAGGAGGAGAAAGAAGUUCGGGUCCUGUUGCGAUAACGAGCACUACAGGGGACUGGCCAUCUGGAGCAUCAUCUGCGGGCUCUCCUGCAUCGGAAUCAAAGCUCUGAUAAAUUCAGUCGAGGCUGAGAAGACGACAGAUCGAGAGGAAUCUAAAAAGUUAUCAAAAAAGGCAAGAAAAUUUGGCAUCAUUUCCAUCGUGACGUGGAUUUCCAUUUUGCUGUCAAUUCCUUUGUUAAUGGGACUGAUCUCGUAUCUCAUCACUUUUCAAGACUGAGAAAAUAUCCAGUGGAGUGGCUCUUGUGUUUCUGGAAAUUUGUGGAGACAGAGCUGCUUACCAACGACUAAAGUCAAAAAUCAGAAAGACACAAAGAAGCUGGAUGUUACAUGAAACGGACUCAGACCGCAUUAGUCUUUCUUGCCGUCACAGUUCACACCAGUAUGGAAAGUUGUAUUAAUGAGGUUUUACAUGUUUUUAUACGGUGUAAUAUUUAUUUAACAAUAUAUGCACAUAUGGACAAUUAAAAAUCUAAAUGAGCAUAUAAAAGCAUUGCCAAAUUAUACAUGACACUACAUAACACUUAUAGUUAUACAUCUAGUAAGGACCCAAUCCUUAAAAUUUCUACUAUUACAAUUUAAUAUACUCAUUCUAAGAUAUGGUAUAUAAUUUGCAGAUAGUAAACAAGUAAAUAAAUUAAGUCACUGUGAAUCUAAACCUAUUCAUUAAGGACUGGGUCCUUACUGGAAAUAAAAAAAUGGCAUGGCAGUGCUUCUCCGGGAUCUUAUGAGAUCCUCCUCUCGUGGUGCGGACAUUAUCUUGGCAUUAUUGCAUUGUUACCAUAUUAGUUUUAUUUACGUCAAAUGCAUCCACAUGUUGUACUUUUAUACAGACAUGUAAAUACAAUUUUAUAAAAAAUAAAAAGACAAAAAUGUUUGUGCUCUGA